rnacentral:sRNA from 1 species
UGUCUAAAACCGAUGUUAGUUAUACGGAAGCUCAAUAUUUAGCGACCAUCAUCAAGCCUUCUUUGUGGAGGAAGAUGUACGGUAACUGUGAGGGCAUCCACCUGCGAGUAGCGGGUUUUUGGACAUUUACGAGGA